rnacentral:rRNA from 1 species
GUGUCAGCCGCCGCGGUAAUACGGAGGAGGCAAGCGUUAUCCGGAAUGAUUGGGCGUAAAGCGUUCGUAGGUGGCUAUUCAAGUCUGCUGUCAAAGACAGAAGCUCAACUUCUGAAAGGCAGUGGAAACUGAGUAGCUGGAGUGCGGUAGGGGCAGAGGGAAUUCCCGGUGUAGCGGUGAAAUGCGUAGAGAUCGGGAAGAACACCGGUGGCGAAAGCGCUCUGCUGGGCCGCAACUGACACUGAGGGACGAAAGCUAGGGGAGCGAAUGGGAUUAGAUACCCUAGUAGUCC